UAUGGAGCCAUGCGGCAUUGAAUACAUGGAGAUGGACGAAGAGAGUUCUUUGCCAUUUUAUGAAGGCAAUGGAGCCUAUAGUUCGGGUUUUGAAGACGAUUUUGAGCAAACUCUUGCUAAUGCUUGAUAUGGACUUCGAGGUGGUGAUGAUCGAGGUUCAAAAUUCUCAUGAAGAGGUGAGUUAAAUAUCAAAAUAACUUAUAAAAGUAAGCCGUGCCUUUUCAAUAACCUCACCUAUAAUUUAACUUGAAUCUAGGUUGAAGGAAAUAAGCAAUUCCCUUGCGAAGUUU